rnacentral:misc_RNA from 1 species
AAAAUAAUCCUACCCUUUGUGAAUUUUGUUUGUUUGAAUAAUUUUUUUUUUAAAAAAUUAUUGGAGUCUUUCCCUUUAGAGUUUGCUUUUGAGUUGUAAAAGAAUUCGAAAACAUCUAAAGGGGAUGGUCAAUAAUUUUUUUGAAAAAAGACAUUUUUUAAAAUUAAACUUUUUGUAUUCAUUUGUCUAAAAAUUAUUUUUAUAAUAUAAAACAACUUUUGACAAUGGAUCUCUUGGUUCUCGCAACGAUGAAGAACGCAGCAAAAUGCGAUAAGUAGUGUGAAUUGCAGAAUACGUGAAUCAUCGAAUCUUUGAACGCAUAUUGCACUUUUUUAGUUUACUAAAAAAGUAUGUCUGUUUGAGUAUCAGUAAAAUAUUCUCAUAAAAAUCAUUGUGUAUUUUUAUGGUUAUGAGUGUUUACAACGAUACAAGUGUUUCACUUUAAAUUUUUUUUUAAUAUUGAAAUUUUUCUAAUUUUAAUAAUUAAAAUUGGAUAAAAUUUUCCCGUCAAAAGGAAUAACCUAAACAAUUUUAAACGAUUAAUUUUAGCAAAAUUUUCGAAAAAAGGAAAAUUUUUAUUAAAAUAACUUGAUCUCAAAUCAGAUAAGAGUACCCGCUGAACUUAAGCAUAUCAAUAAGCGGAGGAAAAGAAACUAACAAGGAUUCCUUAGUAACGGCGAGUGAAGCGGGAAGAGCUCAAAUUUGAAAUCUUCAAGGUUUUACCUUGACGAAUUGUAGUUUAAAGAAGUGUUUUCUGCUGAAGUUUUGGUAAAGUUCUUUGGAAUAGGACAUCAUAGAGGGUGAGAAUCCGUAUUUGACCAUUAUUUUCAGCUUUGUGAUACACUUUCAAAGAGUCGGAUUGUUUGGGAAUGCAGUCCAAAAUGGGUGGUAAAUUUCAUCUAAAGCUAAAUAUUGGCGAGAGACCGAUAGCGAACAAGUACCGUGAGGGAAAGAUGAAAAGAACUUUGAAAAGAGAGUUAAACAGUACGUGAAAUUGUCAAAAGGGAAGCGUUUGACACCAGUGUUGUUUUCUCGAAAAUCAAUUAAAAAUGGCUCGAUUUUGUAUUGCUGAGACCUUAAAAGCUCACUGUACAUUUUUCGUGUCUUUUUUAAUGCACUUUUCGUUUAACAAGUCAACAUCAGUUUCUUUUGUUGUAAAAGGGUCAUUGGAAGGUGGCUUUCUUUUCGGAGAAAGUGUUUAUAGCCUUUGGCCUCUGCAAUCGAGAGACUGAGGUCUGCAGCGUAGACUCUUCGGGGUUAGAUACAUUUGUGCUAAGUUAUAGCUUUUUAUAGACAACUUGUUGACUAUAAUUAGUCUUGUAGCUUACUCGCUUAUGCUAUUU